rnacentral:rRNA from 1 species
UAAGGAAUAUUGGACAAUGGAGGCAACUCUGAUCCAGCCAUGCCGCGUGAAGGAUUAAGGCCCUAUGGGUUGUAAACUUCUUUUAGACGGGACAAAACCCCUUUACGUGUAAAGGGUUGAUGGUACUGUCAGAAUAAGCAUCGGCUAACUUCGUGCCAGCAGCCGCGGUAAUACGAAGGAUGCAAGCGUUAUCCGGAAUUAUUGGGUUUAAAGGGUGCGUAGGCGGACUAAUAAGUCAGUGGUGAAAGCCUGCAGCUUAACUGCAGAAUUGCCGUUGAUACUGUUAGUCUUGAGUACAGUUGAGGUAGGCGGAAUGUGUCAUGUAGCGGUGAAAUGCUUAGAUAUGACACAGAACACCGAUUGCGAAGGCAGCUUGCUAAGCUGUAACUGACGCUGAGGC